UACAGAGGGGGCGAGCGUUGUUCGGAAUUACUGGGCGUAAAGGGCGCGUAGGCGCCCGCAAGUCGAACGUGAAAUCCCCAGGCUCAACCUGGGAACUGCGUCCGAUACUGGCAGGCUUGAAUCCGGGAGAGGGAUGUGGAAUUCCAGGUGUAGCGGUGAAAUGCGUAGAUAUCUGGAGAACACCGGUGGCGAAGGCGGCAUCCUGGACCGGUAUUGACGCUGAGGCGCGAAAGUGUGGGGAGCGAACCAGG
rnacentral:rRNA from 1 species